rnacentral:rRNA from 1 species
UGAUCAUGGCUCAGGACGAACGCUGGCGGCGUGCUUAACACAUGCAAGUCGCACGGGACCCGCAAGGGUUCAGUGGCGAACGGGUGCGUAACACGUGAGGAACUUGCCCAUCGGCGGGGGAUAGCCGGCCCAACGGCCGGGUAAUACCGCGUACGACCUUCGGGGGGCAUCCCCUGGAGGUGAAAGCAGCAAUGCACCGAUGGAGAGCCUCGCGGCCUAUCAGCUAGUUGGUGAGGUAAUGGCUCACCAAGGCGACGACGGGUAGCUGGUCUGAGAGGAUGAUCAGCCACAUUGGGACUGAGACACGGCCCAGACUCCUACGGGAGGCAGCAGUGGGGAAUCUUGCGCAAUGGGCGAAAGCCUGACGCAGCGACGCCGCGUGCGGGAUGACGGCCUUCGGGUUGUAAACCGCUGUCGGGAGGGACGAAGCUCUGACGGUACCUUCAAAGGAAGCACCGGCUAACUCUGUGCCAGCAGCCGCGGUAAUACAGAGGGUGCGAGCGUUGUCCGGAAUCACUGGGCGUAAAGGGCGCGUAGGCGGCCCGGUAAGACGGAGGUGAAACGCUGCGGCUCAACCGCAGCACUGCCUUCGAGACUGCCAGGCUUGAGCACGGUAGAGGCUGGUGGAAUUCCCGGUGUAGCGGUGGAAUGCGUAGAGAUCGGGAAGAACAUCGGUGGCGAAGGCGGCCAGCUGGGCCGUUGCUGACGCUGAGGCGCGACAGCGUGGGGAGCAAACAGGAUUAGAUACCCUGGUAGUCCUAGCCGUAAACGGUGCGCAUUUGCUGUGGGAGGAAUCGACCCCUUCCGUGGCGAAGCUAACGCGUUAAAUGCGCCGCCUGGGGAGUACGGUCGCAAGAUUAAAACUCAAAUGAAUUGACGG